rnacentral:lncRNA from 1 species
UUGUGUACAAAAUAACCCGUGACUGCAUCAAAUUAUUGAGAUAGUGACUUCUUGUGUACAAAAUAAGUAAAGUGAACCUGUCACGUUCAUCCACUAAACUUCAAAGAGAAAGUCUCAGUUGAAUCCAAAGGGCUGUUGAUUCCAUAGUCGUAGCUAUCAACAAGUCCCAUGUCUUCUUCUUCAGAACUGUAGUCCAAAGGGCUGUUGAUUCCAUAGUCGUAGCUAUCACCAAGUCCCAUGUCUUCUUCAACCUACAACCAAAAA